rnacentral:rRNA from 1 species
UACGGGGGGAGCAAGCGUUGUUCGGAUUUACUGGGCGUAAAGGGCGCGUAGGCGGAUUUGUUAGUCAGGGGUGAAAUCCCGGGGCUCAACCUCGGAACUGCCUUUGAUACUGCAAGUCUCGAGUCCGGAAGAGGUGAGUGGAAUUCCUAGUGUAGAGGUGAAAUUCGUAGAUAUUAGGAAGAACACCAGUGGCGAAGGCGGGCUCACUGGUCCGGUACUGACGCUGAGGUGCGAAAGCGUGGGGAGCAAACAGGG